AAAGGGAGACCUAAUUCAGGUAUGGGACGAAAAAAAAGUAGUCGCUACCAAGAAUCAAUCCCAAAAGGUCGGAGCGAGGCGAAAUUGGCUUUCAAACUAGGUUCUGGGUUCACACAAGACCUGAAUCAGGAACAAGGGCUAUUAGCUCAGGUGGUUAGAGCGCACCCCUGAUAAGGGUGAGGUCCCUGGUUCGAGUCCAGGAUGGCCCACCUGCACAGGUGGCAAAAACAAGAGAAGCUCCGAAUCAGCACCUUAUCUUACUGACAUAGUAAGAGAGAAUGCUGGCUCUGAGUAAAGAGUCCAGAGGAACCUUGAAAACUGCAUAGAGCUAGGUGAAAAAGCCAAAAAAGAAGACCGCAAG
rnacentral:tRNA from 1 species